GCGCCGUGCAGGUUAGCUAGCAGGUUAAUAGAUGCUAAUACAAACCCCGCAUCAUGGCGAAACGAACAGGCAGCGACACAUCCACUCAGCAAGCCACAGUAAAAAAGAAAUGCAGUUCUUUUAAGAUGGAAUGGCUGUCGGAGUAUGUGCAAAUUGAAGAAAAAGCGGUGAAAUUGGGUGAGAUUUUUUCUUUUUCAAGUGAGAAAGGUCUACUCUGCAAAACAUGCAGCGAUGCCAAAGUAGCAAGUGAGUUUUCAGAGGGAAAAAUGUGGACUGAAUGGAAGCUGGACUAUCUCAAGCGUCACGUUCAGCAUAAAAGUCAUUUAAAAGCUGUCGAAACUGUACGAAGACUCAAGAUGGGACAGGGGAUUGGUACAUUAUUGCGGGAGAGCGCAAAAGAGCGAGAGAAAAGGAACGAGCUGUCACACAAAACAAAAUCGGACCCUGAACAAGUUAAAGUUCUCAUUGACAAUAUUUUACUUGCCAUCAAAAUGAAUGCAUCAAUUCUGUCAGUUCAACAAAUCCACGAUCACAUGGCAAAGUAUGUGAGUAUACCAGAAAGCUGGCGAAGCAAAAACUAUGCCUUUGAAUUUGUGAACUCAAUCAAUGAGAUAGUGCAGAAUGAGACUAUGUGCAGUAUUAAAAAUGCACCCUGGCAUACCCUGAUAGUAGAUGAGAGCACAGACAUAUCAGUACACAAAAUGCUAGUCAUAUAUAUUAAAUACAGGGAGGAAAAUGAUGUUAACUACAAAACUGUGUUUGGUGGCAUCAUCCAGCUGACAGCAUGCACUGCUCAGGAUAUUGUGCAAGGAAUAACUCAGUUUUACUCCAAACAUGGACUGGACAUGCAGAAAAUGGUGAUGCUGACCUCCGAUGGUGCCUCAGUAAUGCUAGGAAAACACAACGGAGUUGCAGCUUUGUUAAAGCGCCAAAUACCACACCUAACUGAACAACAUUGUGUGGCCCACAGAGAGGACUUGGGCAUUGAUGAUGCCUGGAAAAAUGUGCCUUCGAUGCGAGAUGUUGAAGCUCUUCUUAGAACUGUCUAUUCCACUUUCUCUCGGUCCGCUGUGAAGAGGGGCAAAAUGGAGGACCUGGCAAAGAUUCUUGAUGAAGAUGCACUGUCAUUCAGGCCUCUGAACGAAGUGCGAUGGCUGUCGCGGCACCAAGCUGUCAAUGCUGUUCUGAGGAACUACACUGUGCUUACAGAAUUCUGUAAAAGAGAAUUCACCGAUAACAGAGAUCCAGUGGCAAAGUACUGCUACAAAAAGCUGAGUGAUUCAAAAUUCAAGGUUACUAUCACUGCUCUGGGAGAUGUUUUGGGUGAGCUAGCACAACUCUGCCUCACUUUACAAAGACGCAACCUGACUGUGAUGGAAGGACACUGCUUUGCUAGAGCAAAAAUUGAGAAGUUGCGUUCCCAAUACUUGAAAGAGAAGGAUGUACAGUGGAGCGACCGUGUCAAAGAGGCAAUGGGGACCUCAUCAGCUGAUGGCAGAAAUACUGGUGAGAUUACUCUUUUUAUUAGUAAGCUGUGUGAUCACAUGGAUGCUCGUUUUCCAGAGGAUGAAUUAAAGGAGUGGUCUGCAUUUGACAUUGAAACAUUGAGCUCAGACAUCAGUUUUGACUAUGGAUCAGCAGACAUUGCCACACUGGCAAAGAAGUAUGAGGCCAUUCUCCACCACCCACCACAGUCUAUGGAGACCAUUAACAGUCAGUAUGCUGAAUUCAAGUACAUAAUGAAGCAAAAACUUAAACAGAGGUCAAUCAGCACAUUCUCAGAUAUGGUUGCUGCAACACUUAGAUGUGAGGAGCUAAAGGAGAUCUCACAGCUUGUGGAUAUUUGUGCUACAUUUCAAGCUUCCAGUGCCGACUGUGAAAGAGGAUUUAGUUUAAUGAAUCAUAUCAAAACAAAAUCCAGAAAUCGUCUUGAAGUGACACAUUUGGACCAGCUGAUGCGCAUAAAGUCAAAGCAAGAAGCAGACGAAGCCAUCAACCUGGACAAAGUGUACAACCAUUGGAGAAGUGAGAAGGACAGACGUGAAAAAUAAGAACAGGACCCUCAGCCAGGCAAAGCAGGACUCUUCCCAUGGCCAAAGCAGGACUCUCACAUACUGUAUAACAUCUACACAUCCCAUUUUUCAGAUUUUUGUCUUUUUUUAAGUGGACCAAAUUACUUAUUUAAAAAUAAAGCGUGCAUAUCUAAUGUUG